AAAAAAAAAAAAAAAAAAAAAAUUGGCUCCCAACGUUUGCUUACACCUAUGGUUACAGGGCUUUGGUUUUGGCUUGGCUGGUUUAUUUUUGUUCCUGGAUCACAGCUUUAAACUCACACAACGAGCUCCCACAUGCUCACUGGCAAAAAAACUUUCCUGGCAACACAGCCAGCUGCUGUUUCCUGUGUUUAAAGACUGCAUUGCAGGGAAGUGUUUUAAGAGUUGUUUUGAGUGUUUUGUCUACUCCUCCAUGCAGAAGUGUGGAUGCUGCUUCUGAGAAAGAAGAAGGUGACGUGGAUGCUCUGUGUUCCGUGGCAGCUCUCAGGUGCUGGGAGAUUUGUGUAUCGGGACAAACUCAGAGCCUUUGUUCUGUGUGGUGUGAAACCAUAGAGUUUAUGAAGUCCUUGAGCUGUGAGGUCAGAGUUCUCGAGCCUCCUCUGACUCCGGGUAAGACAGUUUAUGUCUGCUUUGCCCAUCUGUGUGACAAGUUCCCCACAGCCGCAGACAGCACCUCUGGAAAGUUCAGUGUAGCACAGAUCCAUUAGCCCCUCUCAGAGAUGACUAGGGUACUUCUGCCUCAGUAGAUGCCAGAGACAGGGUUCUCAUGAAACAAGGUGGUACGUGCUGAAAGGGGGACCGUUCGUUCUCUAGUUUUCAUCUUGGAACAACAGAGACUCUAUAGCUUACUAAAUAAAGACAGGUGAUGGCUUAUGUUUGUGUGUUCCUACUAUGUGCUUCUUUAUGCUUUUUCCCAAUCCUGAACCAAGGAGUAACUAGCAUUCCUGUUCUGCAAAUGAAAAAAGCCAGACAGACGUAUGCAAAGGUAUCCAACUAGAAAGUGUUUUCUUACCCAUCAGGUGGUUUCAGAGCCCUUCAUGGUUUGUUACUGUUUGCUGUUCCAUACGCUGCUGCCUCGCCCUGCCCUGACAGCCGGCUGAAGCUUUUGCAUACCAACAGUCUUUGCUAUUGAAUUGUCUUCCCUUUCUUCCCCUGCGGCUCCCUUCUGUGGUUCUGAGAUAGCUGUCAAUCAGGAGUUAAUCAUGGUCUGGUUACCUCUUGCCUUUCCAGCUCCUUCUCACCCACUUGUUGUCACUGUCACACGUACAGUACACCUCAGCUACCUUUGACUACCCAAGGGCUCACCCUUAUAGCACCUCAGGACCCUGCACAAAUUUCUUGAUAAAAAUGCAUGUCUUCUUUCUGGGUGAAUUUUUCUCUCUUUGGUGAGACCUCAUGUUCAUUUGUUUUGCUUAUUGAAUUAUGUAACAGACCGACCUUGAACUCACUAUGUAGACCAGGCUAGCCUCAAGCUUAUGAAACUUUUGCUUCAGGUUCCUCAAUGCCAGGAUUAGAGACUCGUGACACCACACCCUGCUUAGGUAGGUGUGAUCUUAUCUAUGACUUUCAAAUACUUUGUCCUUUGAGAAAAUUUCUCAGAUUGUGCCAUUCAUUUCACACUUCUCACCCACCUCUCUCCACUCCCCUUUCUAGGGUGUGUGUGUGUGUGUGUGUGUGUGUGUGUGUGUGUGUGUUUCUGUGCACCACAUUCUUAACUAGUGCUCAAUGAGGCCAGAGGACAUCAGCUCCCCUGGAACUGGAGUGAUAGGUGGUUGUGAGUUGCUUGGUGUGGGAGCUGGAAGCCAAACCCAGGACUUUUGGAAGAACAGCAAGCACUCUUGACCUCUGAAUCAUCUUUCUAGCCCCCUUAGUUUUUCUUUAGCAAAGAGCUCAAGAAACCCUGGCUGGUUUUGGAUUCCUGAUCCCCCUGGCUCCACCUCUCAGUCUAUGGGUUUAAAGGGAAAACAAUUUUGUUUUCCUUACUGACUGUGACAGCCAAGUGACCUUAUAAAGAGAGUACUUAUAUUACUUUAAUGGUAGGAAUUCGAGCACAGGUAAGAAAAAGCUGGGAAGGAUGCUAUAGUGAAAGUGUGGGCAUAGAUAUAGCUUCCUCAAUAUCUGCCCCACUCCCUUGUCCCUUUCACUAGCUGGGGACCGGUGUCCAUCACGCCUUCUGUCCUCUUUUCCAUUGUGGCUGCACUCAGCCUACAUCUGGCUGGCUGGCCCACAUUCCUCUGGGCCCAGGUGACCAAUAAGGAAACAGAAACCACAGAAGUGAGAGAGAAAUGCCUUCAGCCUGGCAAAGACAGAAUUGUUUCUCACUAACAGCUUUCCAACAUGGACAUGCUCAUUCACUUGUGAUUCACUGCUGUGGGUGAGAGCCCUUCGGUACAGCCACCAUCAGUUCCAAGGAGGCUUCCAGUGGCCUUCAGGACCAGUGGAUGUCUGGGAUCAGAAAUUCUCAGUACUCCAUGCAAUGGCCAGCAGGAGAGGGGACUGCUCUGCUCAAACACUUAAGUGUAGAACUAGCCUGAGACUCUGUCUGUUUGAAAUGCAGUAGAACAAAAUCCACCAGGAGUGAGGGCCAAGAGUGUCCAUUUGUGGGUCAUGGUCUGAGGAAAAGUUACCACACACAGGGACUCAGAAGGUGUGAGCUCCAGUCCCAGCUUUUCACUUGUUGGCUGGGUAAUGCUGAGCAAUUUAUCAGUUCCAUUUCAAACAGCAUGCAUUAUAUUCUUACUGUGUACCAAGAACUGUUUGGUGAGUGGGGACAUGGGAAUAAACUAGGAACCUCUGCCCUCAAGUACCUCAAAGUCUUAUCCACAUGACUCAGGCUGUGAAGAGGAGUGAAACCCACUCAUCCCACCGAGGAACUGAGAAAAGCUCUCCAAGGAGGUGCUGAGGCCAAUGAGCUUGGGAGGACAAGACGGUGGGCAGUUAUACAUGUUGAAGAUGGAGGGGUAGACCAGAAGGCAGAGUCACUGCACAUACAGACAAGAUGGUAGCUGACGGUGUGGAUGGCCCAGCAGAGCCAUCAGUGUUCAAGUGUCCAUCCCCGGCUCCAUGAGAGACAGCACCCCAUCUUCACAGUUCUGUGAGGCAGAUGGUAGUAAUAUCCCCCAGUUAUGAACAAAACAAGGAGGGAGUUCACUUGUCCCAGGUGAGAAGCAAGGACUAAAACCUAUCUUUUAAAAUCUUUUUUAGUUCCUUUUUGUCUGCCUUUUCUGAGCCCCACCCCACCCAACCCCUUCUUUUCCUGGCACUGGGGACUGACCUCAGGAUUGGCCUCAAAUGUGCAUCUGGUCUACCACAGAGCUGUGUAACAGCCCCUGGACUGCAGAGAGGCAUCUAGAGGAACAGACUUGCUUCUAAGGCUGAUUGCUGAGUGAUUACCUGGAACCACAACGUGGAAGGAGAGAACUGAGUUGUCUGCCAUAUCUGUACACACACACACACACACACACACACACACACACACACACGGAAAUUAAUGUAGUUUGCAAAACAGCUCUUAAUUUUUUUUUUUUUUUGAGGUGAGAUCUUGCUGUGCAGUCCAGGCCCUCCUUAACCUCAAAACCUUCUAAUUCUGCCUGUCACAUUCUGGGAUUAGAGGCAUGACCACCAUACCCAACUGAACUUUUAUUAUUUCCUAUGAAAAGCUGAGAAAUAUGCUGUUUUUUUUUUUUUCUUUUGUGAUUCAGUAAUCAGAGCACUUGGUUGCAGAAGAGGAUUGCUGUGUGUUUGAAGCUAGCUUGGACUAGAUCCUUGUUAGUUUUUAUUGUCAACUUGAUACAACCAAGAGUCAGCUGGGAAAGAUGGAGUGUCACCUGAAGUAUUGUCCAGAUCACAGUGUGUCUAUAUAUGCCAGGAACUGUCUUGUUGUUCAGUGACUUAGGAGGGCCCAGCACAGGUGGGUCUGGGCUGUGAAAGAAAGCUGAGCAAAAGCCAGUGAGCAGCACUUCUCCGUGGUUUCUGUUCUAAGUUGCUGUUUGAAUCCUUGCCCUGACUUCAGUGAUGGAAGUAUAAGCUGAAAUAUAAACACUUUCUUCCCCAAGUAACUUUUGGUCAUAGUAUUUAUCACAGCAACAGAAAGCAAACUAGAAUAGUCCACAAAGCUAAUCCAACCAUCGAGGGCUACAGAGUAAGACCAUCUCUUACUUAUUAUUAAACAAAAUAAAACAAACAAACAAAAAAAACCUCCUUCAAAACCUCCUUUUCCCCUUUCUACUUCCUUUAGUUCCUGGAGCCUCAAGUACAGAUCCAUUAGGAUUUUUUGUUUUGUUUUGUUUUGGGGUUUUUGUUGGUGGUGGCUUUUUUUUGUUUUGUUUUGUUUUGGUUUGGUUUUUUGUUUGUUUUUGAAACAUUUUCCAUGUGUAGCCCUGGGUGUCCUGAAAGUAGCUCUGUAGACCAGGCUGGCCUCCAACUCAGAGAUCUGCCUGCCUCUGCCUUCCCAGUGCUGGGAUUAAAGGUAUGCACUAUCUCCUGGCACUCAGAUCUGUUUCUGAUUGACAGCCAAUACACCAGGGGCAGGCUGUCUCCUGUAAGACCUACAAUGGCCCAGCUCUGGGAUAUUGCCAUCUGCCACCCCACUGAGAGGUCUCUGCACUCAGGCCUGUGGGCCAACCUGCUUUAUGGAAUUCACUAGUUACUGUGGAUUGACUGGGAUGUUAAUAAACAAUUGUUUUUUUUAAAUGUAGCAGAAAAUUUCAAAUUUAUGCAAAGUAGUCAGAGUUGUAUUGUUAGUGAGAGUAAGUUAUUUUAAGGGCAGGCUGGAUCCCUAAAUUGCUAUGUAACUUCUUCCUGUAUGGUAAUUUGAUCCUUUAGUCCCUCAUGAUCCCACCAUGGUACCCUUCAUCAUGAGGUUGUGCAGCUAAAGUGACACUUAGAUGACAUUGUACUCUUAUCAUUUUCAACCUCCACAACUUGAACUAAAUAAACUACUUCUUCAUUAGUA